AUGUCCCACAGGGAGCCAAGCAGCAUGAUGUGCUCCAUACAGCUGACUUCCACAAACGGGGCCCUGUGUAUCAUCAAUCCCCUCUACCUCCGUGAACACGGAGAUGAGUGGCUGACCCACAGGCCCGCUGCCGCACAGCCGUCAAAUUACAGACGAGAGCGACGCCUCAGCACCACCCGGCAAUGGGCAGGCGCCGGGUUACAAAGUAAACGAGCCAUCUCUUUGGAGCAAGAAAUCCCUGCUCCCAAUACAGAAAGCUCAGGUUUAACCAGAGCCCGUUCCGCUGAUUCAGCACCAGCUGAGCAAACACCAUCAGGGGUGGUCCUCCGGCGGCCCAGUCGGGAUUUAGUAAUCUCCCAGCCUCAGAGAGUGAGCACGGGGAGCCUACCUUCAUCCACUUCCUCCACCCCCAGAAAUGGAACACCUGAGUUGCAGCGCCACAGCAGCCCCGUGCCUCAGUCUCCUCACAGGGUGUCCUGGAUUGAGGAUGGUGUCUGGCUGCCUCCACCCAGGCCUUCUUCCUUGCUCCAGCCUCCAUCACUCGAGCUUGACUCGAUUUCAAUCAGCAGCAUAGAGGAAGAGAUGGAGCCCCAGAUGCUAAGCUCGCCACAUCACCACCCUUCAGCACACCGUUUGGCUGAUAAGGUCCUACAUCGCCUCUCUGCCGUGGGCCAGGCGCUGGGUGGGCUGGUAAGCCAGAAAAAAAGACUGUCCAAUCGUGUGCAAGAGCUGAGUGAGAGGAAAGGUGCUGCAUUCGCAGAGGCUGUGAAGGGAUUUGUGGAGAUGACAUCGAAGCGAGGGACUGAUCCUAGCGGUGUCACAGGGUCGGAGUUCUUACAGGAAGUGAGAUUAUCACUCACAUCACUGAGGGAGACACUGCUGGAAUAUGCGGAAAUCCAGAUGUUACUGGAUAGCAUAACUGACCUAAACGACUCAGAGAUUGGUGAGUGGGCUGUGACAUAA
rnacentral:lncRNA from 1 species